AGGAAGAUUGAUGGAAGAAAAACAAGCAACAGAGGUGCCCAGGGCUACUGUGUAGAACACUGGAGCAGGCCUCAAUCCCAAAGUGGCAAGUAAACUGACAUAUGGGCAAAGGAUGACUGAAUACAACUAACGCUUCUUGGUAUCCUGCAAUGCCGUGAAAGCAAUUCCAAUUCAACUUCAGCCACAGCUUGGAAGGAUCUGGAAAGGUCCUCCAGACAAGAAGCAGUAACUGGGAGUGGGGUGUGACCAGAGACUGACCUGGAGAAAAGCAGUCAAGACACCAGAUUUCAAGUGCCCCACAAUACAGACAACCAGGGGAUAUAUUCGCAUUGUUUACUAACAUCCCAGAAUUUGUAAACAUCACCCCUGAAUUCAGGUCAAUCAAUGCAGGCCAUACUGCUCCUCAUGCCAAGCCCCUGCAUUCUUGGGCAACCAUGGACAACUGGACAAACUCCAGGACAAUCAGAACAAACUGGACAAACCACUAGGAUCAAAACUCCUCUAACUCACAAUCUGACUAGGGUCCAUCAAUCAGCUUUCAAGCGAUUCAAAACAAUUAUGUAAAAUAAUUUCCAAUUCUUCAUCCGUGGGAUUGCAAAUAAGAAAGCAUCUAUGAAGCAGUAUAAAAAAAAGUGGGCUUGAAACUUGCAUUUUCAAAAGAAAGUUACUGUUGCGCUGUGAAGAUUUACCAAGGGCAAAGCGAGUGGUUUGCUUGAGGAAAUUAUAUUAGUACUGCAGAUACCCCACCACCCAAAAUGCACUUUAUGCAUGCGGCCUGUCAGUUUACUGUUCUGUUUCUCCAUGUCCAAGAGGGAGAUCACAGCAUGUUCUGAGCUACCUGCUAGUUAAUUCAGUUUCCAUGAUAAACACAUUGGUAA